UAAAAGUUGUAUAGUUUGAAAUACAUGCAAUUGAAAAUGAUUAUAGUUUUAUAUUUUUUAUUUAGUUGAAUGUAGUAGAAAGUACUGUAGAUAUAAAUAUUUUAUUUGGCUACAUAUUGUUGAGAAGUAAAUUUAUAAAUUUCUAGCAUUUUACAUAUGGAGUGGUGAGAUUACUUCCUAUGUACAAAGAUAAAAAAAAAAUUUAUAAAAAAGAUUAUUAGGAAGGUAAGUUUAUCUUUAUUUAAAAUUACUUUCUCCAAGUGCUGCAGUCUAACAGCAGCAAAUUUAGGCGUAGUUCUAAUUACUGUAGUUGAGCCUUCUCGUGCAGUUGCAAUUGCAGCAGUCGAACACAAAUGUAUAAAAGUAAAUACCAAACUUGAAUCUGCAUACAGUUACAACUACAGUACAUACAACUAAACAGUCCUUUAAAGUUUUUACGAUUGAGUUUAAUAUUUUCUAAUGCUUUAAAUUUAUUUGAAAUAAUAGUAAGAUGACCCAGGCUCUAGGGGACAUUUUUUGUUCUUGUAAUUUCUUUAAAGGCUAAAAUAUAGAAAACCCUUCUUCUGUAAAUAUUCAUUUUUUUUCACUUUUACUCUAUGACUUUAAAAAAUUUAUAUUUUACCUUCUUAAAAAUUUAGAAAUAUUUUCAAAAAGUUAUGAUUUUUAAAAUCACUUUAUUAUCCUUACUUAUUUUAUUAAAAAAAUAAUUUUUUAAUAUAUUUAUGUCUUUUUAAGGGCGUCUUUGGUAUAAUUUAUAAAAAAAUGACAGAAUCUUGACGGAGAGUGGCUAAAUAUAAUCAACUGGAAAUUUUGGAGAGAUAAAAUAUAAAUUCUUAAAAAUAAAAAAAAAGUAGAAAAAAAGUAUUUAUCUGGGGAUUUUAUGUAUUUUAGACUUUUUUUUUAACUAUAAUGUUUUUUUUCAAAACCUAUUUGUUGAAAAAUAUUUGGGUUAAUUAUAUACAGGUCCCCGUAAAUAUAGUGAAUUACAAAGAUAUCCCUAUAAAGUUCAGCUUUCAUAAGUUAAUCCUACAAAAGUCCUAAUAUUUUCAAAUAUGUCCCUCUGUUUUGUUACUGUUGGAAAACUGUUUAUAUUUUCAAUUUUGCCAUUACAAAUAUGUCCCUCCAAAAGUUAUAACAAUAUAAAUAAAAGGGGUAAAAAUGUUAAAAAUUAGCCUUGAUAAAAUAUUAACCUACGUUAACUAAACGUUUCUAACGGAUUCUAACGACAGGGACAUAUCUGAAAAUAUUAGGAAUUUUAUAGGAAUAACUUAUGAAAGUUGAACUUUAUAGGGAUAUAUUUGUAAUUUGCUAUAUUUACGGGAAGUAUGCAAUUAAUCCAAAAUAUUUUUACAGAU
rnacentral:lncRNA from 1 species